rnacentral:SRP_RNA from 1 species
CCCCAGGUCCGCAGGGCGAAAGCCCAUGAACUCCGCCAGGACCGCGCAGGUAGCAACGGUAAGUGUGGUGCUUGUUGCUGCGGGUAGCCUGGGGCAU